rnacentral:rRNA from 1 species
GAUGAACGCUGGCGGCGUGCCUAAUACAUGCAAGUCGAACGCUGGAGAUCUAGCUUGCUAGAUCGAAGGAGUGGCGAACGGGUGAGUAAUACAUAAGCAACCUACCCACGAAGACUGGGAUAAUCUCUGGAAACUGGGACUAAUACCGGAUAGGUAAUCGGAAGGCAUCUUCUGGUUAUUAAAGGUUAAAAACACUGGUGGAUGGGCUUAUGGCGCAUUAGUUAGUUGGUGAGGUAACGGCCCACCAAGACGAUGAUGCGUAGCCGGCCUGAGAGGGUGAACGGCCACAUUGGGACUGAGACACGGCCCAGACUCCAACGGGAGGCAGCAGUAGGGAAUUUUCGGCAAUGGGGGCAACCCUGACCGAGCAACGCCGCGUGAGUGAAGACGGCCUUCGGGUUGUAAAGCUCUGUUGUAAGGGAAGAACGGUAGAUAGAGAAUAUCUAAGUGACGGUACCUUACCAGAAAGCCACGGCUAACUACGUG